rnacentral:sRNA from 1 species
CUGUGCUGGUCAGAUUGGGAUACUCAUCAAUUAUUACCAACAACCGAGAAAGCUUCCGUCCAAUGGCGGGCCGGCGCUACGCUUUAAAAGCAGCGUGGAAGACCGGAUUACAAAGGGCGGCGGGCGCUCAAAUCUUAUUUUACUCGGAGUUGUCAUCAUCUUUUGCCAGUACAGCCUUU